GGGGUCAGAGGGUAGUUCAGUGGGUUAAGCACACAUGGUAUGAAGCUCAAGGAUGGACAUAAGGAUUCCGGUUCCAGCCCCUGGAUCCCUACCUGCAAGGAGGGGUCGCUUCACAAGCGGUGAAGAAGGUUCGCAGAUCUGGACCACAAGAAAUUUCCUUCCCUUGCCAUCAACCAACACUUAACCAGUUGAACCAUCACUGAAGCCUUGCCAAGAACUUAAACAUCAGCAAGUUGGAGAGGCAAAUAAAAGGAGACGCCCUGUUUGCCAAACAAGCAGCAAAGGUUCAGAAAUCCAGCUUCCUGGUACUGGCAAAUAUAUCUGAAUUUUGGAAAUGGUAUUCACUGAAAAGAGUCAUAAAAAUGAGAUGCCCCGUGGAGAGCAGUCUGGAGAACUGUCAGAAGGUGAGAAGUGGACCUACCCUAUGACCCUGCAAUUCCUCUCCUGGGGAUAAAUCCUAAGGAACCCAACACACUCAGCCAAAGAUCUCUGUGUAUACCUAUGUUGAUAACAGCAAUAUUUGUAAUAGCCAAAGCCUGGAAGCAAACCAGAUGUCCAACCACAGAUGAGUGGAUGAGCAAGUUGUGGUCUAUAUACACAGUGGAAUACUACUACACAGAUAUUAAAAAUGGUGAUUUCACCAUUUUCAGCUCAUCUUGGAUGGAGCUUGAAGAAAUCAUGUGAAGUGAAAUAAGUCAGAAGCAGAAGGAUGAGUAUGGGAUGAUCUCACUCACAGGCAGAAGUUGAAAAACAAGAUCAGAAGGGAAAACACUAAGCAGAACCUGGACUGGAGUUGGAGUUGGUGUAUUGCACCAAAGUCAAAGACUCUGGGGUGGGUAGAGAGAGUUCAGGUCCUGGAAUUGUUGUAGUGUUGUGUGGAGAACUGGAAAAUGUUAUGCGUGUACAAACUACUGUAUUUACUGUUGACUGUAAGGUAUUAAUCCCCCAAUAAAGAAAUAAUAAUAAUAAUAAU